UACGGAAGGUCCGGGCGUUAUCCGGAUUUAUUGGGCGUAAAGCGAGUGCAGGCGGUUCAAUAAGUCUGAUGUGAAAGCCUUCGGCUCAACCGGAGAAUUGCAUCAGAAACUGUUGAACUUGAGUGCAGAAGAGGAGAGUGGAACUCCAUGUGUAGCGGUGGAAUGCGUAGAUAUAUGGAAGAACACCAGUGGCGAAGGCGGCUCUCUGGUCUGCAACUGACGCUGAGGCUCGAAAGCAUGGGUAGCGAACA
rnacentral:rRNA from 1 species